rnacentral:lncRNA from 1 species
UUUUUAUGCCCCACCUACGAUAGUAGAGGAGCAUUAUGUUUUCUGGUCUGUGCGUCCGUUCGUCCUUCCGACCGUCUGUCCGUCUGUCCCGCUUCAGGUUAACGUUUUUGGUCAAGGUAGUUUUUGAUGAAGUUGAAGUCCAAUCGACUUCAAACUUAGUAUACAUGUUCCCUAUGAUAUGAUCUUUUUAAUUUUAAUGCCAAAUUAGAGGGUUUACCCCAAUUUCACGGUCAACUGAACAUAGAAAAUGAAAGUGCGAGUGGGGCAUUCGUGUACUGGGGACACAUUCUUGUUUUGUUUUUUGUU